CCUACGGGGGGCAGCAGUGGGGAAUAUUGGACAAUGGGGGGAACCCUGAUCCAGCCAUGCCGCGUGUGUGAAGAAGGCCCUCGGGUUGUAAAGCACUUUCAGUGAGGAAGAACGCCUGGUGGUUAAUACCCAUCAGGAAAGACAUCACUCACAGAAGAAGCACCGGCUAACUCCGUGCCAGCAGCCGCGGUAACACGGAGGGUGCGAGCGUUAAUCGGAAUUACUGGGCGUAAAGCGCGCGUAGGUGGCUUGAUAAGCCGGUUGUGAAAGCCCCGGGCUCAACCUGGGAACGGCAUCCGGAACUGUCAAGCUAGAGUGCAGGAGAGGAAGGUAGAAUUCCCGGUGUAGCGGUGAAAUGCGUAGAGAUCGGGAGGAAUACCAGUGGCGAAGGCGGCCUUCUGGACUGACACUGACACUGAGGUGCGAAAGCGUGGGUAGCAAACAGGAUUAGAUACCCUUGUAGUC
rnacentral:rRNA from 1 species